rnacentral:rRNA from 1 species
UUAGAUACCCUGGUAGUCCACGCUGUAAACGAUGGAUACUAGGUGUGGGGGGACUGACCCCCUCCGUGCCGCAGUUAACACAAUAAGUAUCCCACCUGGGGAGUACGAUCGCAAGGUUGAAACUCAAAGGAAUUGACGGGGGCCCGCACAAGCGGUGGAGUAUGUGGUUUAAUUCGAAGCAACGCGAAGAACCUUACCAGGGCUUGACAUCCCGGUGACCGCUCUAGAGAUAGAGUUUUCCCUUCGGGGACACUGGUGACAGGUGGUGCAUGGUUGUCGUCAGCUCGUGUCGUGAGAUGUUGGGUUAAGUCCCGCAACGAGCGCAACCCUUAUUGUUAGUUGCUACGCAAGAGCACUCUAGCGAGACUGCCGUUGACAAAACGGAGGAAGGUGGGGACGACGUCAAAUCAUCAUGCCCCUUAUGUCCUGNGCCACACACGUACUACAAUGGUGGUCAACAGAGGGAAGCAAUACCGCGAGGUGGAGCAAAUCCCUAAAAGCCAUCCCAGUUCGGAUCGCANGCUGC